AUUUGAUUUAUCAUUCCUUUAUAAUCUGUGUAAACAUUUUUGUAUUUUGAAUUGCCGUGGAAGACAAAGCAUUGAUUCUUAUUCCUGUUUUAAUGUUCACCCUUGACUUUAAAAAGCCUUAACAAAAAAUUCUGCAGAGAAAACUUAAGUGCAAUAUGAUUGUCGCUAUAGUUAACAGUGCAGCGUGACCCUGCAAGCUACAGUGUGUCAGGUGAGGGUUAAUUUUUGGUGUAAGCCGUGAUUUCCAGUGCCGAGUGAUGAACUCUAUUAACUUGAUGUAAAUGAGGUACCUCACAUAAAAAAAAAAAAAAAAUCAUUUGAUUGACCCAUAUGAUUCCUCUGACCACUUGUACAGCAUGCGUGGUACUUCUUUUAUUCAUGUAAAUGUUUUCAUCUUAUCCUGUCAUAUGUGACUUCUCAUUAAAUGAGUAUAAAGAGUUUUUAAGAAAAGAAGCUUCAAGCCUGGAAGGAAGCCACAGAAAUCAUCAGUGACUCUGGAGAGUGUUUUCUGGUUGCUAGUACAUUUAACUCUAGGCUUAUAGCUAAUACAAAGCUUAGGACGUAUCAUGUAAAUCAAACAACUUAUUUUCAUAUGGCUUUAAUGUGUUAUUUCAUUUGUGUUUAACUCGUUAGCAGAUGGAUAUGAAGGCAUGUCAUGGUGUACUGGUAGCAAGUACAGUUAGCUUGCAGUGCUAACCAAGUUCAUAAUGAAGCCUGGAAUUUAGUGUAGAACAAAUAACCAGUUUUUACAUGAUUAUGACUUUGAGUACAAAUAUAUCACAUUCUGUAGGAAAUAUAGUGCUGAAAGAUUCGUUUUAGCUACUGCUAGGACAGUGGAAACUGCACUAACAAUCAGUUCACCAAGAUGGUAUGAUCGUUUCUCAGUCAGUUCAUCAUGUCAGCUGUAUGCUGCCAAAACUGGUAGGUACACAACUGUAGGUGUGUCUGAAUCCCAAAUAUGAGGAGAAAGUAUAAAAAAAAUAUAUUUAUUCAAGUAAAAGAAAGUUUCAAACUGUGUUUUGGUAUCUUUCAUGUCGUUUGCUAACAUAGAAACCUAGGGCAGGUCUUGAUGAUGGUGAUGUGACUGUGUGUUUACUGUGCAAAGUCAAAACUGUGCUGGAUUUAACUUACACAAUUCCAUUAAAUUUUACUGAACUGUGCGCUUUUCUCUUGGACCAAAUGCAUGGCAUCUCAAUAUGAUAGAUGAAAAAUCAAAGGAGUGGAAUUAUUUAGAUUUCUAAUUCAAGGCUUGAGCGAGAGACUAGCUUUCUAUUUUCUUUAGCAAACAGGUUUUUGUCAUGAAAUAGCUCAUGUAGACUAACAAAGCGAACAAAUUUAGCUUUUUUCCCCUCUAUCUGGUGGAUGGGCUUGUGGUCACUGUUAAGGACACUAUUAAUCCAAACUGUAACUCUCCUCCAGUCCGGAUGGUGGCGAUAACGCGCCCAUUAGCUGCUUCUACAACCGCAAAGAAACACCGAGGAACAAAAAGAUGCUGCAGGUUUCUAGUCUGACCAGCUGAGCUAAUCAUGUACGAAUAAAAUAAUUUCUCACAGACUUUUACAGAGUUACAGUUAGAUUGGAUCCAUUUAGAAAUAAAUAAAAGCUCGUUAUGUCUGUGUCUGAGGAGUAAACCUCCGAUUUGCUUAAAAAAACCCUGACUGAGAGCUGUUAUAAUGAGUUCAGAAGGAGACAGAAAGCCUCAGACUCCUGAUCCUGCUUUCUCACAGACUUCAGAUGGAGGGACGUCAGGAGAGAUAGAGGUCUGUGUGAAGAAAGAGGAGACGCUGGACCUGAACAUCUACAACCAUGGAGACAAUCACAGACACAGACCUGAAGUCACCGUUAAAGAGGAAGAAGCUGACCAUGAAGACUAUCUCUAUUGUGAAUUUUGCGAAUCCCACUUCUUCAACAAGUGUGAGGUCCAUGGUCCAGCACUCUUCAUCCCUGAUACUCCUGUUCCCAUGGGGGUCACUGACCGAGCCAGACAAACUCUUCCUCCUGGACUAGAGAUCCGGAAGUCCGGUAUUCCUGACGCAGAUCUGGGAGUGUUUAAUAAAGGGGAGACUGUACCAGUAGGUGCACACUUUGGACCUUACCAGGGAGUGCUGGUAGACAGAGAGGAAGCUAUGAACAGCAGAUAUUCCUGGGUGGCACUUGACCUCAUUUUUGACCCUGUGGUGGAGGAGAGAGAUGAGGCAGAACCUGCAGAAGAGGAGGAGGAAGUGUCAGAGAAAGAAAAUAUCACUGAAAAUGAUGAAGAUUUUGUUCCAACUGACGAGGAGGAAUCAAGUGCUGAAGAGGAGCCUCCGGAAAUGUUUUCCAAUCCAAAGAUGGAAAUAUUCUCUGGUCCUCCAUUCCUCCAAGCGACCUACGCAGUAUAUUGCGGGCAGAGCGGGAGAGGUCCCGUUCAGAGGUCGAUGUGGAUUCAAACAAUAUAUUGCCAAGUAAACCUGGCAAGUAUGGAAUCAAAAUCUGGGUAGUCUGCGAUGCCCAGACUAGCUAUGUCUGGAACAUGCAGGUGUACACCGGCAAACCUGCAGAUGGCCAGCCAGAGAAGAAUCAGGGCCAGCGUGUGGUUUUCGAGGUAACAGAGGGUCUUCGGGGAAACAUCAUCACUUAUGAGCUGCUCAGGAGGAAGCUGGCCAUGGUGGGAACCGUGAGAAUAGAUGGGGCCAAAUUCGCCUCCCAGUUUGUGUUUACUGACACGCGUGCUCUUGUCUCCUACUGCCCCAAAAAGAGAAGGAAUGUGCUUCUCAUGAGCACUCAGGAUACUGCAGUUAUACAGAUACUGCCACAGAGGACUAAAAGCCCCAGAUCAUCCUCGACUACAACAAGAACAAGGGGGGAGUCGACAACCUCAACAAGGUCACCAGUGUUUAUAGUUGUAAACGAAUGACAGCCUGUUUGCCCUUGACGGUGUUUUACAACAUGCUUGAUGUGCAUACAACUCCUUUGUGCUGUGGAGAGAGAUGGACCCAAGCUGGAAUCAAGGGAAAGUGCCACAACAGGAGGCUGUUUCUUGAGGAACUUGGAAGCGAACUUGUGACACCUCUCCUAAGAGGACACCAGGUUCUUCCCCGCACGCUAGUCUCUGCUAGCUUGGUCAUGGAAGUCCAGCUGGGUGCAUCAACCUCUUCAGCUACCCCCCUCCACCCAGCUGCUCCUCCUCAACCAUCACCCAAAAGGAGGAGGUGCCAAUCCUUCACAAAUGACAUCAAAACCAGCACCAGGUGCCAAAAAGUCGAUGCACAUAUUUGCAAAACCCACAGCAUUGUAACCUGCCGCUCAUGCAAAUGAAGACACGCACACGCAGUUUCUGUUAAUUGUAUUUUUAUAAAA